AUUUUCUUAAUAUAACUCAAGUAUAUCUGACUUCCAAUCAGAAAGUCUAUAAACCUUAGAGAAAAUA
rnacentral:tRNA from 1 species